AAGUCGUAACAAGGUUUCCGUAGGUGAACCUGCGGAAGGAUCAUUACAUUCAGUAGCUUGCUACUGUUAGGGAGGCCGGUUAGUCUGUAUAGUAUCACUACUGAUGAGCAGCGCGGCCUUCUGUCUGUACCCUUGUCUUUUGCGCACUCAUGUUUCCUCGGCUGGGUUUACGCCUGCCGGCUGGACAACUCUAUAACCUUUUUAAUUUUCAAUCAGCGUCUGAAAAACCUAAUAAUUACAACUUUCAACAACGGAUCUCUUGGUUCUG
rnacentral:misc_RNA from 1 species